CAGUCGCCGCGGUAAUGCGUAGGCGGCAAGCGUUGUCCGGAAUUAUUGGGCGUAAAGGGCUCGCAGGCGGUUUCUUAAGUCUGAUGUGAAAGCCCCCGGCUCAACCGGGGAGGGUCAUUGGAAACUGGGAAACUUGAGUGCAGAAGAGGAGAGUGGAAUUCCACGUGUAGCGGUGAAAUGCGUAGAGAUGUGGAGGAACACCAGUGGCGAAGGCGACUCUCUGGUCUGUAACUGACGCUGAGGAGCGAAAGCGUGGGGAGCGAACAGGAUUAGAUACCCCCGUAGUCCCUGUCUCUUAUAC
rnacentral:rRNA from 1 species